UACGUAGGGGGCAAGCGUUGUCCGGAAUCAUUGGGCGUAAAGAGCGUGUAGGCGGCCAGAUAAGUCCGCUGUGAAAACUCGAGGCUCAACUUCGAGCUGUCGGCGGAAACUAUCUGGCUAGAGUCCGGAAGAGGAGAGUGGAAUUCCUGGUGUAGCGGUGAAAUGCGCAGAUAUCAGGAAGAACACCCGUGGCGAAGGCGGCUCUCUGGGACGGUACUGACGCUG
rnacentral:rRNA from 1 species